AACUGGAAGAGUGCCAUAAAAUC
rnacentral:miRNA from 1 species